GCCCUUAGAGUUUGAUCAUGGCUCAGAGCGAACGCUGGCGGCAGGCUUAACACAUGCAAGUCGAACGAGUGGCAGACGGGUGAGUAACGCGUGGGAACGUACCUUUUGGUUCGGAACAACACAGGGAAACUUGUGCUAAUACCGGAUAAGCCCUUACGGGGAAAGAUCGCCGAAAGAUCGGCCCGCGUCUGAUUAGCUAGUUGGUGAGGUAAUGGCUCACCAAGGCGACGAUCAGUAGCUGGUCUGAGAGGAUGAUCAGCCACAUUGGGACUGAGACACGGCCCAAACUCCUACGGGAGGCAGCAGUGGGGAAUAUUGGACAAUGGGCGAAAGCCUGAUCCAGCCAUGCCGCGUGAGUGAUGAAGGCCCUAGGGUUGUAAAGCUCUUUUGUGCGGGAAGAUGACGGUACCGCAAGAAUAGCCCCGGCUAACUUCGUGCCGCAGCCGCGGUAAUACGAAGGGGGCUAGCGUUGCUCGGAAUCACUGGGCGUAAAGGGUGCGUAGGCGGGUUUCUAAGUCAGAGGUGAAAGCCUGGAGCUCCACUCCAGAACUGCCUUUGAUACUGGAAGUCUUGAGUAUGGCAGAGGUGAGUGGAACUGCGAGUGUAGAGGUGAAAUUCGUAGAUAUUCGCAGAACACCAGUGGCGAAGGCGGCUCACUGGGCCCAUACUGACGCUGAGGCACGAAAGCGUGGGGAGCCAACAGGAAUAGAUACCCUGGUAGUCCACGCCCGUAACGAUGAAUGCCAGCCGUUAGUGCACUAGUGGCGCACCUAACGCUUUUAGCAUUCCGCCCUGGGAGUACGGUCGCAGAUUAAAACUCAAGGAAUUGACGGGGGCCCGCACCAGCGGGGAGCAUGUGGG
rnacentral:rRNA from 1 species